rnacentral:rRNA from 1 species
CAGGCCUAACACAUGCAAGGGRGRBCGCGAAAGUGCYYUCGGGUGCGAGUAGAGCGGCGGACGGGUGCGUAACGCGUAGGAAUCUGCCUGGUAGUGGGGGAUAACUCGGGGAAACUCGAGCUAAUACCGCAUACGCCCCAUGGGGGAAAGCGGGGGACCUUCGGGCCUCGCGCUAUCAGAUGAGCCUGCGUCGGAUUAGCUAGUUGGUAGGGUAAUGGCCUACCAAGGCGACGAUCCGUAGCUGGUCUGAGAGGAUGAUCAGCCACACUGGGACUGAGACACGGCCCAGACUCCUACGGGAGGCAGCAGUGGGGAAUAUUGGACAAUGGGGGCAACCCUGAUCCAGCCAUACCGCGUGUGUUAAGAAGSCUUCGGGUUGUAAGCACUUUCAGAGGGGAGGAAAGUUGCCGG